rnacentral:rRNA from 1 species
UACAGAGGUCUCAAGCGUUGUUCGGAUUCAUUGGGCGUAAAGGGUGCGUAGGCGGCGCGGUAAGUCGGGUGUGAAAUCUCGGAGCUUAACUCCGAAACUGCAUUCGAUACUGCCGUGCUUGAGGACUGGAGAGGAGACUGGAAUUUACGGUGUAGCGGUGAAAUGCGUAGAUAUCAGGAGGAACACCAAUGGCGAAGGCAGCUCGCUGGAACGGUACUGACGCUGAGGCGCGAAAGCGUGGGGAGCAAACAGG